AUGCUUCUCCUAAAGACUAAGCCAUGCAUGCCUCGAAUAGAAAGAGCAUCCUCUCUGAAUCUGCGAACGGCUCCGCAAACCAGUUGUAAACCAUAGCAAGCAGGCCCGUGGGGACCGUCUUGGGCCGCAAGGCUCGGGGCACCCCGUGGACCAUAGGGAUAUCCGUGGUAAUUCUAAGGCUAAUACAUGAACGUACGCCCUGGCCGACGGGCAACCGGAGGCUGGGGACCGUGCGGUCAAUACCAAGGAUUCCCUCUGGGAAUAGUCGCACGGCCAGACCCCCAUACCAAACAGUCCCCGAUGACCGAUCCCGCGAGGGUGAGGGAGCUGGGCGUCUGGGGGGCUCUUGGACGGUGCUUCUGACCUAUCAACUAGAUGGCAGCGUAACGGACAUGCUAUGGUAACAACGGGUACAGAGGAUAAGGGUUCGAUCCUGGAGAGUGGGCCUGAGAGAUUGCUCAUACUUCUAAGGAAGGCAGCAGGCGCGCAACGUUCCCAUUGGGCAUUGCCCGAGGGCGUUAGGGGACAUAUGAAUGCCUGCCUUCGGGUGGGCAAUUCAAAUGGGUCUGUUUUAAACAGCCUC
rnacentral:rRNA from 1 species